GCUUUGUCCCGGACUGAGGCAGAAAACGGGAUCCCGACCCGCCCUUGUUGAAGGAGCAACGAAGGCAGCGGUGGCCUGUCCUCGCAUCGUUGUUUAGGUAGGGCGAGGUUCUCCUUUGAACGCGCAGUGAGACGAAGGUACGCAUGUUUUAGGUGGCUUUCUUUCUUUUGUAGGUUCUUUGGGGUGGUUCGACUUCCGACUUCACGACUUGGUACCUCUCGUGCGCCCGCCGGUGGCGGUCGAGCCCGCAGCCAGUACCUCCGUCGCUGCUCCCACGCCGGCAGGAGGACGACGGCAAGGGCCCCGCGUCCCGGUGUGCUUGGGCUACGACCUCGACCCGGCGGCGGGCCGCGCGUGCCGGAGGCGGGGUGCAAGCAGAGGUGGGCGGUGCACGAGAGGAGGUGGGGCGGGGGGCCGCGCGGGAAGGCGCACCGGCGGUAGAGGCUGCCUAAGCUGCGGCCGCCGAAGCGGAGCACGGGCCUGGGGCGGCUCAUGAAGAGGGCCGACCUCCGGCACCCCGGGCUCUGCGACGCGCUCGAGGACGACAGCCUCCUCCGGUGAAGCCACGCGUAAGAGUACAUGCUGAGCGUGGACGGCACCCGCCCCGCCCACCGCGCGGGCCGGCCGCACGGGCGGCGCCGCAAGAAGAGCGUCAGCACGCGCCACUUGCUGCAGAUGCCCCUCCACACCCGCCCCGCGACCGCGACGGCCACUGCCUGCCCGCACUCGACGACCACGCGCCUCGCGACCCGCACCUUGACCCUGGCCUCCUGCACGGCGGCAAGCGCAGCCGCGGCCUCAGCGACGGACAAAAGGAAUUCUGCAGCUAACUCGUCAAGCUGCCCGACCUCCUGCGGCUGCUGCACGAGCAGUUGAGUAAGUCGCUGUAGCUCGGUUGCCUUUCCUUAUAGUUUGCCUCAGGUUAACUGGACUUUGAAAUGCUGCUACUAAAAACCUGGUUUUCUUCGGGGACUUCGUUUUCUCAACCCGGUCUUCUCGGUGCUCCGGUGGUGUUCCCACCUCCCGCGCGGGAUGGGGGGCCCUCGCGGGAGACUGGAACACCCGGGGAGCACCUGAGGGGACUGAACAAGAGCUGCGGUUGUGGAGAAUAUAUAGGAUUUUGGAGGUCUUGUCUUGGAUCUACAUGGUGCUCGGCGGCGGCGUUCGGAGACAUCGGUGGUUUUUGGUUAACCCUGGGAUAAAGCCGUGGGACGGCCUCUCCCUUUAGUAGUGGCCACCGGUAGAAGUAGUAGGGCUGCGAGAGGUACUACUCCUCCCUCAUCAAGUGGGAGCCCCAACUCCCAUACAUAGUCAUUGAUACACAAACUAGAGAGAGAGAGAGCACAAGAACUAAACCGUGCUAGAACUACAUGGCGCUCGAAAAAAAUGAUGUCAACUUAGUAUACUACAAAAGGGGGAGAUGGAAGAACACUACUUAACUCGAAAUGCAAACUCCAAAGUGAUAAUAGCCUGACUUAUGAUAAUAGCUAAACUCUUGUGAACUACAUACAGAACGCACCCUACGGACACCACUGUUACCCCAUAAGACAACUAAGUGAACUACAUACAAAACCGUGAGUUUAGUGCCUAAGGGCUCCACUGUAACCCCAUAUUAGAUACGUAUCCCCAACUACGUGCAAAAGCAGGAACAAAGAGGUCAUCCUUAGAAC
rnacentral:rRNA from 1 species